AUGAAGCUAAUCACACACUCCUUCAGUCGG
rnacentral:piRNA from 1 species